ACUGGGUGUGGUGGCGCACGCCUGUAGUCCCAGCUACUUAGGAGGCUGAGGUAGGAGGAUUGCUCGAGCCCAGGAAAAUGAGGCUGCAGUGAGCCAAGAUCACGCCACUGCACUCCAGCCUGGGCAACACAGCAAGAGCCUAGCUCAA
rnacentral:sRNA from 1 species